rnacentral:sRNA from 1 species
AAGUAGCGUUAGCGAUUGAAACGGCAUCCUUUUUGCCUUUUCAGCAAAAAGAUAUAGUGAAAAGCGCGACCCUUU